rnacentral:rRNA from 1 species
CACGUAGGGCGCAAGCGUUGUCCGGAAUUAUUGGGCGUAAAGAGCUCGUAGGCGGUCCGUCACGUCCGCUGUGAAAACCCAGGGCUCAACCCUGGGCUUGCAGUGGAUACGGGCAGACUAGAGGUAGGUAGGGGAGAAUGGAAUUCCCGGUGUAGCGGUGAAAUGCGCAGAUAUCGGGAGGAACACCGGUGGCGAAGGCGGGUCUCUGGACAGUUCCUGACGCUGAGGCACGAAGGCCAGGGGAGCAAACGGG